GUCAAGCAAGGCAGCCCGGGCUGUCCUGCAGACAGGAAAGGAUAGGAAAGGCGUGACAACUCUGCACCCAGCUGUGACACACUGUCUCCUUCAAUUCCCUGUACCCUGUGAAAUGGACAUUCUUGUCCCCACUUUACAGAUGUGACUACUGCAGCUCAGAAAGGGAACAUGGCCCAAAGUUACCUGGCUUGUAAGUGAUAUGCUGGGAUUUGAACCCUAGGUCUGUUUGAAUCGAAGACCCACAGAGAAGCCUGAACUUCCAGGAGACACACUAUAUACCAUGGCUGGAUUCCCUGCCCAGGAAGAAGCCAGGCAGGGCCUGCAAGACGGAAAGGGCAUGCCCCCAGGCUCUGUUUCCCAGGCAUGUAGCUGGAUCCGUAAUGACCAACAUUAAACUGUCAGAACCAAGGUUUUCUUCCAAGAGGAGCUGAUAAACUCGGUGGCCUUUAGAAAUCAGUCAUGUGACAACUUGGCUGCUUCUUGGUCAGAAAAAAAGACGAGGACAGAAGAAGAGCCAACACACAUCCUUUGUUCUGAGGUCAACAUUCAGUGUUUUGGGAGAGGAUCAGAUGUUUCUAGACCUGGGAAUGAACUUCUUUAGGACUGAUGUUGAAGAGAACAGUUACUCCGGCCCAACAAUAGCCAGCACUGUGAACUCCUUAGGAAGCAGGCUCACCUCUCACACGGACAAACCGCCACACUAACAAAGAGCAAGGAAGAAGGAUGGUGGUCAGAGAAGCUACCAUUUCCUGAGUGCCCACUCAUGGCCCAGAGCUCCACACUCUUCAUGUCAUUUAGUGGACUACCCCCCAAGGAACAUGGUGACCCUGACGUGGAGAAAAAGAAAUUUUUGUUGGCCUACUGGUUAAUAGGUGACAGAUAUAUUUGUAUGCAUGUAUGCAUGUAUUUAUAAUCAACAAUUAAGUAUUUACCGAACACUUCCAGAGGCUAGCUGCUAAAGUUGUAUAAGCCACAGUCUAUGCCCUGGAGAAGGUGAAUGAUAUAAAGAAACACACCCAAAGUUAAAUAACCACAUGAAAAUGACACAAUAGUAACCAAGAGGAUUUUAGAGGUGGCUGGAUCCACAGCAAACAUUUAAUCUAGAGUUUCCUAAAAGGGUAUGUAUGCAUCAUUGGUGGUAUGCAAGUUGUUAUAUUUGGGUGGUAUACAAAUACUUUAAAAUUUCAUUAAGUAUUUAUUUUAACGUGUUAGAAAAAUGUAUAACUACUGUAUCAAACUCUUGGGUAUAUGGAUAGUUCAUCUUACUGCAAAGUUACAUAGAUACGUGAGUUGCUUUAAAGAUGAUGUAAUGAAAAAUAUCAAGUAAGUAGCCACGUUCAGCAUUGUGAUUCCGGCAUGUGGUAAUGAUUCUGUCAUUUGAAUGUGUUAUUUGAAUGUUCUGAGUUUGGGAAAUGCAGAUCGAGUCCAGUCUCUGGGAUGCAGAGAGCUUAAAUGAGUUGUCCACACUCAAGAAGCCAGUAGAGACCAUAGAUGAGAAACUGGUCACCUGACUGGCCCUCUCCCCCACAGCCUCGGCCACUACUUCCUGUUUUACAGAUGAGGAAACUGCAGCCCUGAAUAACAAGUCUCCUGUGUGAGUGCAAAGACUCACAUGAGAAUCUACUAGCAGAGUAAAAAGAUAAAGUGUGUCUCAUGAAAAGUCAAAGUUAAUAUUUAUAGAGUGUUUACUAUGCAUGCCAGUAUUGUGAAAAUUUCACACACUCUAAUUUAUGUUAAUUCCCAAGCCACUCUGUGAGAUGUACAUAGCUAUUUCUGGCGUUCCUCUGUUCAUGAGGAAAUUAGCAAAGAUCAAAUAACUGUCUGAAGAUUGUAACUUGCAGGUUUGGGGCCUGAACCCAGGUAGUUCAGUUUCAGAAUUUGUUCCCUUAACCACUGUACACACAGCUCACCAAUAAGUGAAGAGGUGAAAGAGGCAACCCGUCUCUCUGGUGAAACUGGAAACAGUCUGCUCAGGCGACAUAUUGUUGCCCUGUGCCCUCCUGCUUCAAGUUCCCCAGUUAGUCCCUUGUCUAUUUCACAGGAGACAUCGUUUCUUUAAACCAUCACUUUUUAAUGUGCAGAAGCUCCUGAGAGGGAUCAGUGAUUUCCGAAAGCUACACUCCCAUAAGGAAAACUCGUUAGAUUACUGUGAUGAGAAACGGGGGAACGGUUUUCAGGAACAACUGUAAAGGACACAUGGACAAAACC